ensembl:lncRNA
AUCAGAUUUGGAGAGUUUAAUAUUCCUCAAGUAGCAGCUUCUCCUUCUUCUUCUCGUCAUAAAACAUAAAGCUUAUUAAGCUCACUUCCUAUGCGGCUCUUCGGGGUCACUCAGGGGAAGGAAGCCUGUGCUGCUCCCACCCAGAGGGCCUGCCUUGGAGUGCUUUGCAUGCUGCCUCACCCCGCCAGCACUGCCUCUGCACAGCCUGGACCUCCUCAGAAAGGACUAGAUGCUGGACUCUACAUCCAGGAAAGAAGCCACUAGCACCUCUGCCAUAUAACAAUUUGAGGAUUUGCAGACCUAGCUUGAAGUCAAAAGGCAAGGAAGAUUAGCCCUGAGCUAACUGCUGCCAAUCCUCCUCUUUUUGCUGAGAAAGACUGGCCCUGAGCUAACAUCUGUGCCCAUCUUCCUCUACUUUACGUGUGGGACGCCUGCCGCAGCAUGGCUUGUCAAGUGGUGCCAUGUCCCCACCCGGAACCCGAACUGGCGAACCCUGGGCUGCUGAGAAGCAGAACGUGGGCACUUAACUGCUGUGCCACGGGGCUGGCCUGAGAAUCUUUCACAUUCUGAGAGAACUACGAAAGAAGAUUGAGGACUGGAAAUAGAAUUGUUUAGAUAUAAAUCUGCACUUAUGCCCAAUUCUUUCUCUUCGAUUACUACAAAAUUUCCUGAUCAUUCACUCUUUCUGUCAUUUCCCAGCUCCAGAAAUGAAGUCUACAGCCAGCGGUUGGCCUUCUGUGCACCUGGUGAGUCUUAACUAACACCAAGGAGCCAACAAGGGGAGAGGUUGUAAUUUUGGAAGAGCAAAGGGUAGAUAAAGACUGUCUGUGGAUGCAUUUGAGUAAAGAUCUUUAGAAUGCAAGAGAGCAAGCUAUACAGGUAUCUGAGGGAAAAGCAUUUCCAGCAGAAGGAAUAGAAAAUGCAAAGUCUUUGAGGCACGUUUGAGGAAGGGAAGAAAGCUAGAAUGGCUGGAGCAGAGUAAGCUAGAGGCAGAAUAGUAGAAGUGGAUUAUAAAAUAUUGUGUAAUUUAAAAGAAUGUUUACAUUUAACAAAUUAAAAUUUAAAAUGGAAAUACAAUGUAAUAUAACCAUGCUUUCCACAAGAUAAUUACAAUAAUUAUUCAAAA